GCCCCGCUAGCUUAAUGGUCGAGCAUCGGACUUCUAAUCCGAAGGUUGCGGGUUCGAGCCCCGCGUGGGGUU